rnacentral:rRNA from 1 species
GAUGAACGCUGGCGGCGUGCCUAAUACAUGCAAGUCGAGCGGACGGACGAGAAGCUUGCUUCUCUGAUGUUAGCGGCGGACGGGUGAGUAACACGUGGAUAACCUACCUAUAAGACUGUGAUAACUUCGGGAAACCGGAGCUAAUACCGGAUAAUAUUUUGAACCGCAUGGUUCAAAAGUGAAAGACGGUCUUGCUGUCACUUAUAGAUGGAUCCGCGCUGCAUUAGCUAGUUGGUAAGGUAACGGCUUACCAAGGCAACGAUGCAUAGCCGACCUGAGAGGGUGAUCGGCCACACUGGAACUGAGACACGGUCCAGACUCCUACGGGAGGCAGCAGUAGGGAAUCUUCCGCAAUGGGCGAAAGCCUGACGGAGCAACGCCGCGUGAGUGAUGAAGGUCUUCGGAUCGUAAAACUCUGUUAUUAGGGAAGAACAUAUGUGUAAGUAACUGUGCACAUCUUGACGGUACCUAAUCAGAAAGCCACGGCUAACUACGUG